rnacentral:lncRNA from 1 species
AAAAAUGAAUGAGUUUGUUUGUGUUUUAGGAAUGCUCAUGCAAAAAGGAAGUCCUAGACGAAGGAACCAUGCUACCUUAAUUGACAUGCAACGAGAGACUAUACAAAGCCUAGCAAUCCUAUGGGGAGACGAUCACACCAUACAAAACAUGCAUAAAGUAAACGCGCCAGCAAGGGGGCUCAAACAUACAUGGGUAGGGCUUUAGUCAAGAGGGGUCAUAUCAAC